rnacentral:rRNA from 1 species
GACGAACGCUGGCGGCGUGCUUAACACAUGCAAGUCGAACGGAAAGGCCCUGCUUUUGUGGGGUGCUCGAGUGGCGAACGGAUGAGUAACACGUGAGUAACCUGCCCUUGACUUUGGGAUAACUUCAGGAAACUGGGGCUAAUACCGGAUAGGAGCUCCUGCUGCAUGGUGGGGGUUGGAAAGUUUCGGCGGUUGGGGAUGGACUCGCGGCUUAUCAGCUUGUUGGUGGGGUAGUGGCUUACCAAGGCUUUGACGGGUAGCCGGCCUGAGAGGGUGACCGGCCACAUUGGGACUGAGAUACGGCCCAGACUCCUACGGGAGGCAGAAGUGGGGAAUAGUGCACAAUGGGCGGAAGCCUGAUGCAGCAACGCCGCGUGCGGGAUGACGGCCUUCGGGUUGUAAACCGCUUUCGCCUGUGACGAAGCGUGAGUGACGGUAAUGGGUAAAGAAGCACCGGCUAACUACGUG